UUGAUGUCCCCUACAACCUGCUAGAGUUUGUCGGUUUAAAUACUUUUCACCCUGUAGAAGGGCACAACACCAAUAAUAUAAGUGAGGCCUUCGUGAGAAUUUUGAAGGACAGAAUUUUUGAGAGGGCGUGUGCCUUCAAUGUAGUUCAGAUGGUAGACUUCUUUCUCACAAAGGUGAAUUUGUAUUUUCAGAGGAGAAUUCUUGAUGCUGCUAGUGGAGCAAGUCCUAAGCCUUUCUCCAGGCCUAUAAAGGCUCCUUCACAGGAAUUCUAGCAAAAAUCAGACAGUGGAUGAGGAUGUUCUGCUGGGUCCCCACUGAAAAAAGAGACAACCGUUAUUACAUUGUAAAUAUGGUUGUUCUUGUUUGGACUUGUUGCCAAGGCAAACAUAUAGACUGGGGCAGUACUGUUUUACCAUCAGAAAACUACAGGGAGGCGACGGAUAAUGACAGUAUACGUAGACUGUAUUAUUUUAUUGCUACAAAUGAGCAACCUCCUGAAGGAUGGCUAGAACCUCUGUAUAGCUCUCAAAAUGCAAUGGCUUCAAGUUCUUCUAAACGUUUGGAGCAAAUGGACACAGGGUUGCUCUGUGAAAGCCAUGAAGAGAUGACAUGGAGACAGUUCGAGACAAAGGAAAUAAUGAUUUAAUAGAAGAAAUAUAAGCUCGUCUCAUAGUUUUUCCAAAUAAAUCCCCUGAGGAAAUGAGGAAAGGGCUCAAAGCCAUGUGCAAAAAAUUGAGCAAGCCUGAAACUCCAUCUGCAUGCACAUCUUAUUUGGCAAAUUUUGUUGAAGGAUAGUCAAGAAAAAAUUGUGGUAACUAUAUUCCCAUUCAGCCCACUGCAAUUAGCAGAAGAACGAACAAGCUGGCAGGUCGCAGACGUCAUCUGGGGGGAAGACCGUGACCACACUCUAAGUGAAGCAAGGAAUUUGUAAAAACAGAAGUUUCUGAAAUGGCUACCUUUCCAUCACUAGCUAUGCAAUCAUCCUAAUCAGCUUUGGAGUUUAGAAGGUGCACGACUGCUUACUACACCAUAGUGUGUAGUAUUUUCUUAAUCUGGGAUCAAACCCAAUGAC